UCUGCUCGGCACCGCAAUGUCGGCCGUCGUGUGUACCGUGAUAGGAACGUUGCUCGCGUUUUCCGCGAUUUUCUAAGUGAAACGCGCAACGCGCGCGCCCACAUCGCCGUCCAGUGCCGUGCUAUGACCGUGUGAUCCGUUACACGACGAGGAUCCACAGCUGAUUCGCCGCAGCUCCUGCUAUUCCCGAAGAUGGGGUGGAGUCGACCGUGAAAAGUGAACAUUAUUAUCUGCGUCGACUGUACCGGUUGACAAUUGGGACUCGACGCGCGGAUCUCUUCCACUAGCAGCGGUUGCUUGGCAGUCGACGAUCGGCAGUCGUGGCGAUCGUGUUGAACGUGGUGUCGGAAAUAUUCAGUGUCCAUUUUUUAUAACCGGAAUAACAGCUUCGAAAUUCAGAUCGAGCCGAGUCAGAGAAGCCGGCUCGCGCUACUCCUACCUCCGAGUGAGUUUGAAUCGAAUUUUAAUCGACGCGACUCGCUGCAACUAAUUGUCAUCGCGGCCCGACACUAUCUUAUCGCUGCCUCGACAUCGCGCGGGGGAAAUAAAAAGGAAGGAGCGGUGUGUAUGCCGGCGACUUGUGGCCCUGACGUUACGCAACGCAGCCGACAGAUACAAUGAAGUCGAAAACGAGUGAGAGUUUUAUAGCGAGUGAAAGCAAGACGGGGGUCAGGAAAGACGGUGCCGACGAGCACAAACAAAAACAGUUGAAAAAAGGUAAAACGUUUUGCCAGUCCUGUAAGAAGAAGUGCAGCGGAGAGGUGCUGCGCGUGCAGGACAAAUACUUUCACAUAGGAUGCUUUAAAUGCGCCCAGUGCAAUACCAGUUUAGCACAGGGCGGAUUCUUUGUACGCGAUAAUGCCUAUUACUGCACCAAGGAUUAUCGGGAACGGUGGGGCACGCGAUGUGCCGGUUGCGGGGAAUACGUGGAAGGUGAUGUGGUGACAGCCGGCGAGAAGCAUGCAUUUCAUCCGAAUUGUUUCCAUUGCCAAAGAUGUCGGCAACCGUUGCUGGGGCAGGGAACGAAAGUGUCUCUUGUUCAAGGUCAAGCGCUGUGUCAUCGAUGCGUUGGUAUCCCAGUUCGCGAGGCCGCGACGCCGGUCAGUAAUAGCACUGGUACCAAAAGCGGCGGGCACACCGACCCUGGUGCUUGCGCCGGUUGCGGAAACCAAUUGAGGGAAGGUCAGGCGCUGGUCGCGCUCGAUCGCCAAUGGCACGUCUGGUGCUUCAAGUGUCACAGCUGCGACACUGUGCUCCAUGGAGAAUACAUGGGAAAAGACGGCGUGCCUUACUGCGAGAAGGAUUACCAGAAGCAAUUCGGGGUGAAGUGCGCCUAUUGCAAUCGUUACAUCAGCGGCAAGGUCUUACAGGCCGGCGACAACCAUCAUUUCCACCCGACCUGCGCACGCUGCACGAAAUGCGGCGAUCCGUUCGGUGACGGGGAGGAGAUGUAUCUGCAGGGCGCUGCUAUAUGGCAUCCUCGCUGCGGUCCAGGACCCACCGGGCCGAAUGGCAUCGUGAACGGACACGGAGACGCUCACACCCCGCAACAUCGGGAAUCGGAGCGGAUUUCCAGCAGCGCUUCGGAGAUGCAGUUUUCAUUGCGGUCACGCACGCCAAGCCUGAACGGAUCGCUGUGCAGCCCUUACAGCAGCCUCAGUCGCAAGUAUUAUCCCGCGCGAACUGGAAGUCCUGGCCUGAUCUUGAGAGAAUAUGGACGACCAGCAGAAGAUGUGUCUAGGAUUUAUACUUACUCGUAUUUGACUGAAACGCCCAGUCAAGGAUAUUUGAGACGUCCGAUACAGCCCUACGAUAAACCCCCAACUAGCCCGCAUUUUCAUAGACCUAGUUCAUCUCGUUCGAUAAGAAGCAGCGGUGGACGCAGCAGCAGGUCGGGAAUGCGAGCUCUGGUCGAUGCUCUGAGCGAUACCAGACCGAAAUCGCCGGCAAGUCAGGUAGAUAACGAUGAACCCAUAGAAUUGGCGCAUUAUCCAGACGCUAUGAAGCCGCCGCCGGGGGCUCAACCGCCAAUCGAGAGAGAUGAUUUUCCUGCUCCGCCGUAUCCUUACACUGAUCCCGAGAGACGUAGACGAUGGUCUGACACUUACAAGGGAGUACCUGCAUCUGAUGACGAGGAUGAAGUGGACAACAAAACAUAUAUUAAAGAGGCGGAGCAGAAGUUGAAAAAAGAACGGGAUGAAUUGAGCAAGAUCGACACGGGAAUAGCUAAAGUAUUCCUGCAAGAUCGCGAGAAGGAUCGGGAGAAUUUGCGACACAGGGCUGCGAAUGUUGAUCCUAGAAACGCCUCGAGGACACCGUCCGCCGCCAGGGAACCUUCAUACCGAUUGCGUUACGAGAGUCCUGUUGGCGCAUCGCCUUCGCGAAAUAUCGAUCAUGCACGCCCUUGGGAGGACGACGAUGGUUUCAGCUACAGAUCUAGCGGGCCUAGCUACAACGUUGGGAGGUCAUCGGCGCGCUCCCCGGCUCCCAGAAACUAUCCACCCCUUGGUACUCAGCGCGCCUUCACUCUUCCAAACGCCACUAGGCACUAUCACUCGUUGUGAGCUCCCUUCGGCACAUCCCGAAGCCGGGGUACGGUCUGGCACCGCGAAGUCACACCUUCUCCUCGACCGGCGGUUCCGUGUCUGCUCUCCCUGGCGACUAUUCAUUCAGCGGGAUGGGCGACAAG
rnacentral:misc_RNA from 1 species